rnacentral:rRNA from 1 species
AAACCAACCGGGAUUGCCUUAGUAACGGCGAGUGAAGCGGCAAAAGCUCAAAUUUGAAAUCUGGUACCUUCGGUGCCCGAGUUGUAAUUUGGAGAGGGCAACUUUGGGGCCGUUCCUUGUCUAUGUUCCUUGGAACAGGACGUCAUAGAGGGUGAGAAUCCCGUGUGGCGAGGAGUGCGGUUCUUUGUAAAGUGCCUUCGAAGAGUCGAGUUGUUUGGGAAUGCAGCUCUAAGUGGGUGGUAAAUUCCAUCUAAAGCUAAAUAUUGGCGAGAGACCGAUAGCGAACAAGUACAGUGAUGGAAAGAUGAAAAGAACUUUGAAAAGAGAGUGAAAAAGUACGUGAAAUUGUUGAAAGGGAAGGGCAUUUGAUCAGACAUGGUGUUUUUGCAUGCACUCGCCUCUCGUGGGCUUGGGCCUCUCAAAAAUUUCACUGGGCCAACAUCAAUUCUGGCAGCAGGAUAAAUCAUUAAGAAUGUAGCUACUUCGGUAGUGUCAUAGCUUUUUGGAAUACUGUUAC